rnacentral:rRNA from 1 species
UACGUAGGGGGCGAGCGUUGUCCGGAUUUAUUGGGCGUAAAGAGCGUGUAGGCGGUUCGGUAAGUCUGUCGUGAAAUCCUGAGGCUCAACCUCGGACGUGCGAUGGAUACUGCCGGGCUAGAGGAUGGUAGAGGCGAGUGGAAUUCCCGGUGUAGCGGUGAAAUGCGCAGAUAUCGGGAGGAACACCAGUGGCGAAGGCGGCUCACUGGCCCGGUACUGACGCUGAGGUGCGAAAGCGUGGGGAGCAAACAGG